rnacentral:rRNA from 1 species
UACGUAGGGGGCAAGCGUUGUCCGGAUUUAUUGGGCGUAAAGAGCGUGUAGGCGGCCAAACAGGUCAGCUGUGAAAACUCGAGGCUCAACCUCGAGACGUCGGUUGAAACCGUUUGGCUAGAGUCCGGAAGAGGAGAGUGGAAUUCCCGGUGUAGCGGUGAAAUGCGCAGAUAUCGGGAAGAACACCCGUGGCGAAGGCGGCUCUCUGGGACGGUACUGACGCUGAGACGCGAAAGCGUGGGGAGCGAACAGGG